UACGGGGGGGGCAAGCGUUGUUCGGAAUUACUGGGCGUAAAGGGCCAGUAGGCGGCCAACUAAGUCCGACGUGAAAUCCCAAGGCUUAACCUUGGAACUGCGUCGGAUACUGGAUGGCUUGAAUUCGGGAGAGGGAUGCAGAAUUCCAGGUGUAGCGGUGAAAUGCGUAGAUAUCGGGAGGAACACCGGUGGCGAAGGCGGCUCUCUGGACCACUACUGACGCUGAGGCGCGAAAGCUAGGGGAGCAAACAGG
rnacentral:rRNA from 1 species